AGAGUUUGAUCCUGGCUCAGGACGAACGCUGGCGGCGUGCUUAACACAUGCAAGUCGAGCGGUAAGGCCCUUCGGGGUACACGAGCGGCGAACGGGUGAGUAACACGUGAGCAAUCUGCCCAUCACAUCGGGAUAACUCCGGGAAACCGAAGCUAAUACCGAAUACGACCACCUCAGGCAUCUGAUGGUGGUGGAAAGUUCCGGCGGUGAUGGAUGAGCUCGCGGCCUAUCAGCUAGUUGGUGAGGUAACGGCCCACCAAGGCUUCGACGGGUAGCCGGCCUGAGAGGGUGACCGGCCACACUGGGACUGAGACACGGCCCAGACUCCUACGGGAGGCAGCAGUGGGGAAUAUUGGACAAUGGGCGAAAGCCUGAUCCAGCAACGCCGCGUGAGGGAUGACGGCCUUCGGGUUGUAAACCUCUUUCAGCAGGGACGAAGCGCAAGUGACGGUACCUGCAGAAGAAGCACCGGCCAACUACGUGCCAGCAGCCGCGGUAAUACGUAGGGUGCGAGCGUUGUCCGGAAUUAUUGGGCGUAAAGGGCUCGUAGGCGGUCUGUCACGCCGGGAGUGAAAACUCGGGGCUUAACCCCGAGCCUGCUUCCGAUACGGGCAGACUAGAGGUAUGCAGGGGAGAAUGGAAUUCCUGGUGUAGCGGUGAAAUGCGCAGAUAUCAGGAGGAACACCGGUGGCGAAGGCGGUUCUCUGGGCAUUACCUGACGCUGAGGAGCGAAAGUGUGGGGAGCGAACAGGAUUAGAUACCCUAGUAGUCC
rnacentral:rRNA from 1 species